UACGUAGGGGGCAAGCGUUGUCCGGAUUUAUUGGGCGUAAAGAGCGUGUAGGCGGCCACACAGGUCAGCUGUGAAAACUCGAGGCUCAACCUCGAGACGUCGGUUGAAACCGUAUGGCUAGAGUCCGGAAGAGGAGAGUGGAAUUCCCGGUGUAGCGGUGAAAUGCGCAGAUAUCGGGAAGGACACCCGUGGCGAAGGCGGCUCUCUGGGACGGUACUGACGCUGAGGCGCGAAAGCGUGGGGAGCGAACAGG
rnacentral:rRNA from 1 species